rnacentral:lncRNA from 1 species
GUGGUUUUGGUGGUUUGUUUCUGCUUUUUUGUUUGUUUUUGUUUUUUUUGCAGGUUUGGGUUCUGGACGUUAAGCCCUCGAGGGGCCCCCGGGACCCAUCAGGGCCUGGGACGGCUGGGGACACACUCCUCGGAUGCCAGACUCCUCCUGCGAGGGCGAGUUAGGGUCCCAUGAAACGGCCUGAGAGGCCCCCGAUCCCCCAGCACAGCGAUCCUGGCCCCCUCCACCCUCCCGAGCCACGUGGUUUCCUACACUCACCUGUCCUGAGUCUGCUUGGGGGCAUCUGUCGUUCAAGAAAAAUCGAAGGUGGCUUUCAAAUGUCAAACUUUCAGACUGAGGACAAACUGCCUUUUAAAUAUCACGUUUUCGAAAAUGUAUACGUUUUUUAUUUUACCUCUUGUCAUCUUUUCCGAACACAUCCCAAGUCACAACAGCGAGACGCAUCAAAGAAAUGUGUAUUUUCCGCAGGAGCACAUGCCUUGUGCUCACAGGAAGGUGCCUGGGAUUGACAAAGGGACGUGUUCUAAUUGGCGGUGAUGCUGGAACGGGGC